UACAGAGGGGGCAAGCGUUGUUCGGAAUUACUGGGCGUAAAGGGCGCGUAGGCGCCUUCUAAGUCGAACGUGAAAUCCCCGGGCUCAACCCGGGAACUGCGUCCGAUACUGGAAGGCUUGAAUCCGGGAGAGGGAUGUGGAAUUCCAGGUGUAGCGGUGAAAUGCGUAGAUAUCUGGAGGAACACCGGUGGCGAAGGCGACAUCCUGGACCGGUAUUGGACGCUGAGGCGCGAAAGCCAGGGGAGCAAAGCGGG
rnacentral:rRNA from 1 species